rnacentral:tRNA from 1 species
GAGGGUAUAACUCAGAGGUAGAGUGCAUGCUUAGCAUCCUAGAGGUCCUGGGUUCAAUCCCCAGUACCUUCA